UACGAAGGGGGCUAGCGUUGCUCGGAAUCACUGGGCGUAAAGGGUGCGCAGGCGGUUGUGUGUGUCAGGUGUGAAAGCCCGGGGCUUAACCCCGGAAUUGCGCCUGAAACUACAUGACUAGAGCAUUGGAGAGGGUAGCGGAAUUCACGGUGUAGCAGUGAAAUGCGUAGAUAUCGUGAGGAACACCAGUGGCGAAGGCGACUUUCUGGUCCACAACUGACGCUGAGGCGCGAAGGCUAGGGGAGCGAACGGG
rnacentral:rRNA from 1 species